rnacentral:rRNA from 1 species
AGAGAUUGAACAUAAGAGUUUGAUCCUGGCUCAGAUUGAACGCUGGCGGCAUGCUUUACACAUGCAAGUCGGACGGCAGCACAGAGAAGCUUG